GCGCAGCGAGAGGUGCUUGCACCUUUCAAGCGAGUGGCGAACGGGUGAGUAACACGUGGAUAACCUGCCUCAAGGCUGGGGAUAACAUUUGGAAACAGAUGCUAAUACCGAAUAAAACUUAGUAUCGCAUGAUAUCAAGUUAAAAGGCGCUACGGCGUCACCUAGAGAUGGAUCCGCGGUGCAUUAGUUAGUUGGUGGGGUAAAGGCUUACCAAGACGAUGAUGCAUAGCCGAGUUGAGAGACUGAUCGGCCACAUUGGGACUGAGACACGGCCCAAACUCCUACGGGAGGCUGCAGUAGGGAAUCUUCCACAAUGGGCGCAAGCCUGAUGGAGCAACGCCGCGUGUGUGAUGAAGGCUUUCGGGUCGUAAAGCACUGUUGUAUGGGAAGAAAUGCUAAAAUAGGGAAUGAUUUUAGUUUGACGGUACCAUACCAGAAAGGGACGGCUAAAUACGUGCCAGCAGCCGCGGUAAUACGUAUGUCCCGAGCGUUAUCCGGAUUUAUUGGGCGUAAAGCGAGCGCAGACGGUUGAUUAAGUCUGAUGUGAAAGCCCGGAGCUCAACUCCGGAAUGGCAUUGGAAACUGGUUAACUUGAGUGUUGUAGAGGUAAGUGGAACUCCAUGUGUAGCGGUGGAAUGCGUAGAUAUAUGGAAGAACACCAGUGGCGAAGGCGGCUUACUGGACAACAACUGACGUUGAGGCUCGAAAGUGUGGGUAGCAAACAGGAUUAGAUACCCUGGUAGUCCACACCGUAAACGAUGAAUACUAGGUGUUAGGAGGUUUCCGCCUCUUAGUGCCGAAGCUAACGCAUUAAGUAUUCCGCCUGGGGAGUACGACCGCAAGGUUGAAACUCAAAGGAAUUGACGGGGACCCGCACAAGCGGUGGAGCAUGUGGUUUAAUUCGAAGCAACGCGAAGAACCUUACCAGGUCUUGACAUCCUUUGAAGCUUUUAGAGAUAGAAGUGUUCUCUUCGGAGACAAAGUGACAGGUGGUGCAUGGUCGUCGUCAGCUCGUGUCGUGAGAUGUUGGGUUAAGUCCCGCAACGAGCGCAACCCUUAUUGUUAGUUGCCAGCAUUCAGUUGGGCACUCUAGCGAGACUGCCGGUGACAAACCGGAGGAAGGCGGGGACGACGUCAGAUCAUCAUGCCCCUUAUGACCUGGGCUACACACGUGCUACAAUGGCGUAUACAACGAGUUGCCAACCUGCGAAGGUGAGCUAAUCUCUUAAAGUACGUCUCAGUUCGGACUGCAGUCUGCAACUCGACUGCACGAAGUCGGAAUCGCUAGUAAUCGCGGAUCAGCACGCCGCGGUGAAUACGUUCCCGGGUCUUGUACACACCGCCCGUCACACCAUGGGAGUUUGUAAUGCCCAAAGCCGGUGGCCUAACCUUCGG
rnacentral:rRNA from 1 species